CUACGGGUCGCUGCAGUGGGGAAUAUUGGACAAUGGGGGAAACCCUGAUCCAGCAAUGCCGCGUGUGUGAAGAAGGCCUGCGGGUUGUAAAGCACUUUCGGUUGGGAGGACUGCUUCUAGCACUAAUAUUGUUGGAAGUUGACGUUACCUUCAGAAGAAGCACCGGGUAACUUCGUGCCAGCAGCCGCGGUAAUACGAAGGGUGCAAGCGUUGUUCGGAUUUAUUGGGCGUAAAGCGCGCGCAGGCGGAUUGGCAAGUCAGAUGUGAAAUCUCGGGGCUCAACCCCGAAACUGCGUCUGAAACUACUGAUCUAGAAUCUUGGAGAGGGAAGGGGAAUUUCUCAUGUAGGGGUAAAAUCCGUAGAGAUGAGAAGGAACACCAGAGGCGAAGGCGCCUUCCUGGACAAGUAUUGACGCUGAGGCGCGAAAGCGUGGGGAGCAAACAGGAUUAGAUACCCGAGUAGUC
rnacentral:rRNA from 1 species